CAAGAAACCCUAAUGAGUAUGAUG
rnacentral:siRNA from 1 species